CAGGAAUGCCCAGCCCACGACGGAGCUCCGUGCUGCAUGGCUGGAGAAAAAGGAAGCACAGAGACCACAACAGGAAGAAGUGCCAACUUGCUGGAAUUGUCCAGACCACCAGCCAGAGCCUGGGUCAGCGCCUGCCUUUCACAGAUGGGGAGAAAAUGGCCCAGAGAGGGAAUCAAUUUGCCUAAACUUACAUUCUGGGGAUUACAAGAGAAAGCUGGUGGGAGAGCUGGCUCUAAACUCUCGUCAACUAAUACCGAUGUUUAUUUCUGAGUAAACGUCAAUUUAGCCUUGGAAUCCUAAGACCUUAUGUCAAAAGAACUUUAAGGGACCUUGGCCGUCCAGGGUGCCCAUGUGCCAGGUCUGGACAACAAUGUGGGAAUAAGGGGUCAGAAUGGACCUGCCCUCAGGGGACUUACAGUCUUGCUUAGUAAGUGACUAAAGAUACUAAAACAGCUGGAAGACAACUGUCCCCUGGCAAACAGAUUGAAGGCUGUUAGGAAUCUCGGGAAAUGGAAGUUUGAGAAGAAGAGUACUGUCUGAGCCAGGAAGGUCUCACAGACAGGUUUAUUUGGCAAAGGACUUAAGAAAACAAAAUCUUGCACGUGUCCACAUUCUGGGCGGUGGUCCUUCCCAAGCCCUUAAAAAACCUUAGCCUAGAACAAUCUUCUUCCCCCCAGUGGCUUCACAGUGCAUCUGAUUCCUAACCCCAGUGACUUCGAGGAACCCAAUGUGGGAAGAUAAACCUGGUCUCGGACUGGCUUGGUGACUCAGAGGAGUGUCAGAUAAAGAUGACCCCAAGACUCUCAUAGAACAUGUGCCCAACCCCCAGUGAGCUGGACUCCAGGGAACGCUUGGGCCAGCCUCAGACAAUACUGGGAACUGUGCACUUUUGAACCCACUCAGCCCUUCAGUGAGGCCUGCGGAUGGCCUGGGGCCAGAUGGGCAGAGAGGCACCUCUGCUGGAGCAAUCUGAAGAGGUGUGAUGGGCACGUUCCCAUUACCUGGGUUCACAGCUCUGAGUCUUCCCAGGUUGCAGCUGCAACCUGAGAAUGAAAAAUGACCAAGACUCAUCUUCUCAUGGGUCGGGCCAGUAGAGAUGUUACGAAUCCCAGAGCAGGCCUGUAAAUGUGUCUGUUUAUUUUUCCUGAAGCCAGUGAAAGACCAUCUUGAUGCCGCCACUCUUCAAAAUUUAGAAACCACAGAAGACAUUUUGAGUUACAUUAUUACUUUAUUUUCCUUUUUUUAAAUGUAGCAUUAAAGUCAUCCAACAUACAGAUAUUCCUACGGCUCCUUACACAUUUUAUUCUAUCUAAAGUUAAGUAUUUUAGCUAUGAGAUGACAAAAAUCAUCCCACUAAAAUGGCAACACUUUUGAAAAAUGGGUUUCAUAUUUACUGAUGAGAAAUCGACUCCCCAUCUACCCCCACAAAAA